rnacentral:lncRNA from 1 species
AUCUCCUUAAAAGACUUAUGAAAGGAGGGGCCCAAGCCCAAGAGAAGGAAGCCCAACCCAACACUAGCCCUAAAUUCUCUAAUAUAAGACCCCAUGAGGGGGGAUGGAAGGGGGCACUUUUGAAGAAGUUUAAAGGAGAGUCAUGUGCUCAAGAACUCACCUCGUCAUAUCUAGGGUUUCCUAAGGGGGCCUUCUUCUUCC